AUUGAACGCUGGCGGCAUGCCUUACACAUGCAAGUCGAACGGCAGCAUGAUCUAGCUUGCUAGAUUGAUGGCGAGUGGCGAACGGGUGAGUAAUACAUCGGAACGUGCCCUGUAGUGGGGGAUAACCAGUCGAAAGAUUAGCUAAUACCGCAUACGACCUGAGGGUGAAAGCGGGGGACCGCAAGGCCUCAUGCUACAGGAGCGGCCGAUGUCGGAUUAGCUAGUUGGUGGGGUAAAGGCCAACCAAGGCGACGAUCAGUAGCUGGUCUGAGAGGACGAUCAGCCACACUGGGACUGAGACACGGCCCAGACUCCUACGGGAGGCAGCAGUGGGGAAUUUUGGACAAUGGGGGCAACCCUGAUCCAGCAAUGCCGCGUGUGUGAAGAAGGCCUUCGGGUUGUAAAGCACUUUUGUCCGGAAAGAAAUCGCACUUACUAAUAUUAGGUGUGGAUGACGGUACCGGAAGAAUAAGGACCGGCUAACUACGUGCCAGCCGCCGCGGUAA
rnacentral:rRNA from 1 species